CCACUCGAGAAAGGUUAUUGCAGCUUGCAGCAACAUCAUGUUUUAUCAAGUAUUGAACCACACAAAGGAUUAAAUCUUCAUUACAAUAUCAUUCAUAACUCCAUUUAAAUCAAUGGAAACUAAAUAUGGAUCGUUUCAUGGAGUAACAACAUACUUUGGAGUUUGGACCCAAAAUACAAUACACGUUAAUAUCGAACUUAUAAGGUGUUAAGCUGCAAUUACAAUAAAAGUGCUUGCUAUGGAAUCACCGGUGCUCAUCAUUAUUGUCAACUGUUACUUAAAAUCCAGAUGAACCAACCCUUACUUCCUAUUCAAAUAAGUUUAGAAGAAACCUAUAUAAGCAAUAAAACCAGACCAAGAAUGCUUGAUUACAAACGAUGAACUCAUUUCAUUUGCAGGUUAUGCCAUGACAUAAAUGCAUUAAAUUAGGAAGAUUUGUAUUGGAUGAAUUACCCAGAUAACAAUUAAAACAACUUCUGUUGAUAAGAACAUUUGAUUGGUGGAAUCCAGAUUCUGUGAAUGUACAUGUAAUUGAUUGACAAGUACACAUUUGACAAGGUGGUGAGAAACGUGUAGAUCUGGCCUGCUUACAGUGGCUAUUGGAUUGGACAGAACUAAAGUGAGAGUGAACGUGUGAAUUUAUGGAGAACAUUAAACUAUUUUACUA